rnacentral:rRNA from 1 species
GACAGAGGGGGCAAGCGUUGCUCGGAAUCACUGGGCGUAAAGGGCGCGUAGGCGGGAUGGCAAGUCGGUCGUGAAAUCCUUCGGCUCAACCGAAGAACGUCGGCCGAUACUGCCGUUCUUGAGGGAUGCAGAGGAGAUUGGAAUUCCCGGUGUAGUGGUGAAAUGCGUAGAGAUCGGGGGGAACACCCGUGGCGAAGGCGGCCGGCUGGGCCGGUCCUGACGCUGAGGCGCGAAGGCGUGGGGAGCGAACGGG